rnacentral:misc_RNA from 1 species
GUUUGACAUGCCUUUCCAGUUCCAAGAUAAAUUUGUAUCCCCAUAAGGCCUUGGAUUUUUCACAUGAAGUAACAAGAAGACAAAAGCGAGGAAGAUAAAUGAGGAACCGACAGUGACAUAGGACAUCCCAAGGAAGUUAUUUCUGCCUCCCAGCCAGCUGGUUGUUGAAAGAACAAGUUUCUUCCUUCCACCAAAACUGUACGUGUUGUAGUUGUUAACAAGAUUCACCAUAAUUAAGUCACCUUCCUCUAAGUCCACUUCAAUUUUUCCAUAUAACUUACGAAAGGUAGGGAGAGCAGCAGUACGCAUCCAUACAAUGAGAUUCUCCUGAUCACUUAGAGGGAUGUCAGGGUCCAAUGUUGCACCACCAAUUAGAGGCCCGCUCUGGAAAUUGAAUGGAUAAACGUCUUUCCCAUAUUUGUGUUCACGAUCACUCCUCCAAGCAAUAUUUUUCCUG